rnacentral:rRNA from 1 species
UAGGGAAUCUUCCCCAAUGGACGCAAGUCUGACGGAGCAACGCCGCGUGAGUGAAGAAGGAUUUCGGUUCGUAAAACUCUGUUGUUAGAGAAGAACAGCGCAUAGAGUAACUGUUAUGCGUGUGACGGUAUCUAACCAGAAAGCCACGGCUAACUACGUGCCAGCAGCCGCGGUAAUACGUAGGUGGCAAGCGUUGUCCGGAUUUAUUGGGCGUAAAGCGAGCGCAGGCGGUCAAUUAAGUCUGAUGUGAAAGCCCCCGGCUCAACCGGGGAGGGUCAUUGGAAACUGGUUGACUUGAGUGCAGAAGAGGAGAGUGGAAUUCCAUGUGUAGCGGUGAAAUGCGUAGUUAUAUGGAGGAACACCAGUGGCGAAGGCGACUCUCUGGUCUGUAACUGACGCUGAGGCUCGAAAGCGUGGGUAGCAAACAGG